AGGUAUUUGAGGGAGUAUUUCCUUUUUUUAGAACAUAAGCAAGACUACUUAUAUUACUUAUGUAAUACACCAGUACCAGUGGUACUGUCAAAAAUCUGUUGAAAACAUGUCUCAUCUUACUGUGUUUAGUUUAUUCAUAAGACAAGCAGCUAGCUUGUGGUCUCCAAAUAUUCACAUGAGAAGACCUUUUUGAUGACAGACCACUCUAAUCCAGCAAAACAAAUUCACUGCAAGAUUCCAAGGGUAGAAAUAGACCCUGGAUAAACAAGAAUUAUGGAAAAGAAUUGCAUACUUUUAACAGCUGCUUAUAUAGCUUAGCUAGUGGUUGCCCAAUUCUUAGUAUAUAAAUGAAAAUGGAUUUUUUUGAAAGUAGGAGAUAAAGAUUAAGUAGACACUGUGCUUACAAAUAAGUUAACAACUGCAAAUUUUUGCCCAGUGCAUUGUGAUCAGCAGGUUUCCCUGGGCACUGAAUACCUGAAUCUAGCUAGGGACAAGUCUGCUCCACGUGAAUGUUGAGUCUUCUUGUGGCAUGCUGGCUACACUCCAUAUUGUUGAGGAAAUGUUGCUAUAUAAUCCACCACCAUCCAAAGGGAUGAGACUGCUGCAGAGGCAUUUCACUGAACAGGUACUCACAGUCAUCGUAUUGUCAUUUUGCUGCUAUAAAGAUGACAAAAGACCUGGUUAAUUGACCCCUGGAAAAUAGAUAUAUUAAUAGUGGCAACUCUUCUUUCCUGCACUGCAUAGAAAAGAGAACUGAGCUUCAUCCAAAUAUAAAGAAACUUGGCAAAGCUGGAUUUCCUAAUAGCCCAGAGACAAAAGUAGGAAGAGUUUUGAAAGAAAAAUGUGUUGCUGCAGGACUGUCAGUUCACCACAUGAAAAACAUUCAAACAUUUCUUUGAAUAAAAAGGAAAUUUAAAACCAAAGACCAGGUGGUCUUUCUCUGAUUGUUUUGGAAGCAAUAUCUCAGACUGCAUUAUGACCAAAAUUAAUGAUGCAUAACUGUACUGUUUUCCUUUCCCCAAUACAAACAUUAAUAGAAAAUUGUUAACAAGUUCUUCAAUAAAGUACCUUACUUUCUUCAACAUAGCAAAAAGUCAGAGAGAAACAAUAGGUGUCACUAAUCCAUCAUUGUC
rnacentral:lncRNA from 1 species